AUUGAACGCUGGCGGCAUGCCUUACACAUGCAAGUCGAACGGCAGCACGGGUGCUUGCACCUGGUGGCGAGUGGCGAACGGGUGAGUAAUACAUCGGAACAUGUCCUGUAGUGGGGGAUAGCCCGGCGAAAGCCGGAUUAAUACCGCAUACGAUCUACGGAUGAAAGCGGGGGCCCUUCGGGCCUCGCGCUAUAGGGUUGGCCGAUGGCUGAUUAGCUCGUUGGUGGGGUAAAGGCCUACCAAGGGGACGAUCAGUAGCUGGUCUGAGAGGACGACCAGCCACACUGGGACUGAGACACGGCCCAGACUCCUACGGGAGGCAGCAGUGGGGAAGUUUGGACAAUGGGCGAAAGCCUGAUCCAGCAAUGCCGCGUGUGUGAAGAAGGCCUUCGGGUUGUAAAGCACUUUUGUCCGGAAAGAAAUCCUUGGCCCUAAUACGGUCGGGGGGAUGACGGUACCGGAAGAAUAAGCACCGGCUAACUACGUG
rnacentral:rRNA from 1 species